GACGAACGCUGGCGGCGUGCUUAACACAUGCAAGUCGAACGGUGAAGCGCCUUCCUUUUUGGUGGGUGUGGAUGAGUGGCGAACGGGUGAGUAACACGUGAGUAACCUGCCCCCUUCUUCUGGAUAACCGCAUGAAAGUGUGGCUAAUACGGGAUAUUCUGGGUCUGUCGCAUGAUGGGUCUGGGAAAGAUAUUGUUUCGGUGGGGGAUGGGCUCGCGGCCUAUCAGCUUGUUGGUGGGGUGAUGGCCUACCAAGGCGGUGACGGGUAGCCGGCCUGAGAGGGUGGACGGUCACACUGGGACUGAGACACGGCCCAGACUCCUACGGGAGGCAGCAGUGGGGAAUAUUGCACAAUGGGCGCAAGCCUGAUGCAGCGACGCCGCGUGAGUGAUGGAGGCCUUCGGGUUGUGAACCUCUUUCGCCAGUGAAGCAGGCCUGCCUCGUUUGUGGGUGGGUUGACGGUAGCUGGAUAAGAAGCGCCGGCUAACUACGUG
rnacentral:rRNA from 1 species